CAUCCCCACCUUCCGUUCCCAUCCAUCUCGCGUGCCCGCCGCCGCCACACCUCGCGCCGGCGGAUGGAGCCUGCCCCGCCUCUGUGCCACUGUAUCCCGCUCCUCCCUCCCGUCCUCCAACUCGCCUUUUCCUCCGUAUCGAGCCGUUGUUCCUCCGCCGGCGUCGGGAGGUCAAGGGGAAGCGGCAGCCGCGCGUGAACCCGGACGGAUUCGAUGAGCUCCGCCAUGCCGGAUCUGAGGAGCUCCGCGCCGGAUCCGCCCGUCCACGGAGUCCGCGCAGUCUCCCCCUUCCUCCCAUCCAUUUCCCUUUUCCUGGUGCGGUAGCAGCCGAGGCGAACGGUGGAGUCGAGAGGCAGCAGCCGGUGACGUGAAGCGCAUCUAUGGAAUAGUUGCACGCUCUAGACCGUAUAGUUGGCGGGAGACAUUGUACAGUGAGGCAGUCACAGAUCUAGCUGUGCCAAUCUCAGACAUUAUCUUGCCAACUUCAGAGUACAAACUGCCAAGCAAACCUGAUACAGUGCCAACUCAAAAUCUCAGCAUAACAUCUAGCAAAGUACCAACAGACAAAGGCCCAGUGCCAACUCCAUGAGCCAUUGUGGCAACUCCAGUAGCCACUGUACCAACUCUAGCAUCCAGUGAGACAGCUGCAGGUCCAAAAUGUGCCAACUCUAACAACCACAUUGUGCCAACUCCAGCAUCCAGUGAGCCAACUGCAGGUCCAAUUGUGCCAACACCGACAACCACUGUGCCACCCCAGCAGCUAUUGAGCCAACUGCAGGUCUACUUGUGCCAACUGCAAGACAUUUGGUUGGCAACUCUCAAUGGUAUUGGGCAACCUGUUCAAUCUCCUUUGCCAAUAGCUCAAAAAGGCACAAGGUUUGAUCAUCAAAACAAACUAACCAAGAAGGAGGUCUAUAGGAAUCUACGCUUUUUUUGAAGAUGACAAAGCCAUGGGUAAACAAGGUCCGGAGGGGAGGUGAAGGGGAAGCUAAAGAGGAAGAAAUUUAAUGGAUCCUCACUUUCCCUCCACCUGGUUGUUGUGGUUGCACAGUUGUGUGUGCAGAUGGCUCACUUGCUGGUGGAGUUGGCACAACGGCUGAUAUAGUUAGUUCAUUUGGACCUGUAGCUGGCUCAUUUGGUGCUGCAGUUGCCACAAUAGUGGCUGGGUUUACUCGUUUGGUGCCUGGGAUGCUGACAUACUAACCAUGUUUUUGCACAUCUUUUUUGUUGCACAUAAUUUUUGCACACAGUGUGGCUAUUUUUUUGGCUGCGGGAACUGACUUAGUUGCAUGAAAGCAGCUUAAAUUUGCCUAGGUUUUGUUUGCACACAACUAUUAUUAAUAUAUUUUCUAUCUACUUUUUUUGCACA